UAUGAAGUUUUCUGAUUUUUAAUUAUUUAAUUAAGAUUUGAAAAUAUUAUAUUACUUUUGAUUCUUACAACCUAAUUUUUUUUCGUGUUACUUUUCAAAAAAUUAUAUUUUAGCAUCUAUGAUUUUAUCUUUUACAAAAUUUGGAAUAUUAUCAUUUUAAGUUUUUAAUAUUUAUUUUCAAUUUGUUACUUGAUCAAGAAAAAAUACACAACUAUUUUUUAAUUUGAAAGAUUAUAUGACUUUUGAAUUUGUUUGUUACUAAAUCAAUUCAUUAUUUUAUUAAAAUAUAUUUGAAUUUUUGGUAAGAUUUUUUAAAAUAUUUGUUUUCAUGAGAUUUUGUUAUAAUUAAAAUAAAUAUUAAAUUUAAAAUGAAAUUUAAUUUUUCAUUAAUAUCUUUAAUUAAUUAUUAAAAUUUCAUAUU
rnacentral:lncRNA from 1 species